GACAAGGACAAGCACGUGUGUUACAGCGUGUGGCCCACACAAGGGGCACCGUGUUGAGUCACCCGGCACGGGGCUUGAGGUCUGGCCGGAGCACCUGUCCCAGUGGGUGAUUUAGAUCCCAAUUAGGAUUUCAGGUGGAACCCUGGUCGUGUCAGCUGGGAAAUCUCAGCCUGGGCUGGGGCCAUAGACUCACUUCCGCGGCAGGCGCAGCAGGCUGAAGGCAUGGAGGGCAUCAAGGUUCUGCCCGCCCUCGCUCGGGACUGUUUGGGUCACAAGGCACGGCUGACCCUUCUCGGGAAGAGCCUCUGGGUCUACUGUUAAGCAAACUGAGGGUAGUUGCGGUCAACUUUUUUUUUUUUUUCUUUUCACGCAAGCGUUUUCCCACUUCCCAAAGUUCUGGGCUUUAGGGUUCAAUGACUGGGGUUAGGUAAUCAGAAAGGAGCCAGUCCGUGCGUCACGCCCGUGUCUUCUGACAUCCUCAGCUCUGUGACCCCAGUAAGUCUCUCUUAACAUCCCCAGUAUUACUGAGGCAGUGGAAUGGCCCCCAUAGUGAAGAGGGACAGUGAACUUGCCUUGCAGUCAUUUUUAUAAGCUCCUUUAUGAAUAGGAACAAUGUCCACCUUACGAUUUUACAUUCCACUUUAAUAAGGAUGGAGUUGCCGUGGGCGAUUUUGAAUGAGAAAGUCUUGUCUUCUGACUACACUGAGUCUUUCUGGCAACAGCCCUGCUCUGUUUCCUGGCUCUUCACAAGAUUAAAUUAACUUUCUCCACAGUUCAUCUCCUAACCCUCCUUGGGCAGCAACCCAGAUGGACAGAUCAAAGAUUUGCAGAAAUUCUGGCUCUCAAAGGGUUUUAGAAGCUCCUCGGCAAAGUACAGAAAUCCUGGAAACAGCAGGACGGACCCGUGGAUGAUCUAGUCUCUGCUUGAAUGCGGCCAGGGAUGGGUCUCCAGGGAAAUUCCUCCCUGCGCCGAGCAGAGUGAAAUGCACCAGGCAAAGUGGUUUGGGAGACAAAUAUAUGCCGAGUUGAAAACUGGACGCGUUGUUUUAAACACAAAAAAUCGGUAUAUUUGCUUAUUUGGAGAGAGACAGCGAGCAGGGGAGGGGCU